rnacentral:rRNA from 1 species
CAAUAGCGUAUAUUUAAGUUGUUGCAGUUAAAAAGCUCGUAGUUGGAUUUCGGAUGGGAUUCGCCGGUCCGUCGUUACGAUGUGCACUGGCCAGUCCUAUCUUGUUGUCGGGGACUAGCUCCUUGGAUUCACUUCCUGGGACUAGGAGCUGACGAGGUUACUUUGAGUAAAUUAGAGUGUUCAAAGCAAGCCUACGCUCUGAAUACAUUAGCAUGGAAUAACACGAUAGGACUCUGGCUUAUCUUGUUGGUCUGUGAGACCAGAGUAAUGAUUAAGAGGGACAGUCGGGGACAUUCGUAUUUCAUUGUCAGAGGUGAAAUUCUUGGAUUUAUGAAAGACGAACUUCUGCGAAAGCAUUUGUCAAGGAUGUUCUCAUUAA